CACAGGAUUCCCAGAGCUCUACCUAAUGUUUCGCUGUGGAUCUCUGCAUUUGAUUUCAUCAGUUGCUGGGUAAAGCCUCUGAUGACCAUUGGGCUAGGUUUUAAAACAAAGAACAUUCCACAGUGUUAAUUCAGUGUGAGAUGAAAAAUACUCAGACUCAGAGAGAGUAAGUGUAGAAGCUCUGCAGUGCAACUUGAAAUCAGGGGUGGUGGUACCUCCAGCAGUUAAUUCUCAACAGAGGAAUCUCAAACAGCUGAGAGCCACUUAAAGAAAUAUUCAACAUACUUAGCCAUCAGGGAAAUACAAAGAAAAACUCCUUUGAGAUUCCAUCUUAUACCUGUCAGAAUGGCUAAGAUAAAAAUCACAAGUGACAGCUCAUGCUGGUAAGUGUGUGGAGCAUGGCAAACACUCCUCCAUUGCUGGUGGGAAUGCAAACUUAUACAGCCACUAUGGAAAUCAAUAUGGCAGUUCCUCAGAAAACUGAGACUCAAUCUACCUCAAGACCCAGCUAUACCACUUUUGGGCAUAUACCCAAAGGAAGCUCCAUCCUACCACAAGGAAACUUACUCAUCUCUGUUCAUAGCAGCUUUACUCAUAAUAACCAGAAACUGGAAACAGCCUAGAUGUCCCUCAACUGAAGAAUAGAAAAAUAAAAUGUGGUACAUUUACAUAAUGGAAUAUUAUUCAGCUGUUAAAAACAAUGACAUCAUGAAAUUUGCAGGCAAAUGGAUGGAACUAGAAAAAAAA